rnacentral:lncRNA from 1 species
GUGGAUUUCUUCAAAAUCAAGAAAAUUAUGGUGGAGGCAAUUCUUCUCUGUCUUCUUCUAUGAUGACAAGUACUAAUGAUAUGGUGAGGAACAAUGGGCUUCUUCAGGAUAUGAUUGCUCCAAUGGAGAUGGGAGGAGCUGGAGCCAAAGAAUGAAUAUGAAGCUGAAGAUGUAUGUUUGGUUAAUGAUACUUAUUUAUGGUAUUAAUUAAUUUGAUUAGUUUGACUUGUAUAUCAAUUAGUAUCUGAUAUUAAUUAGUAGCUGGUAAUUUAAGGUUAUUUAACUUAAUGAUGAUGGAAAAUUCCAAGUCUGUGCCGCUGAAGUGCUUUAAUUGUGUUUUGAAGGUUAUUUCUAGUGAAAGUGAAACCACACUUCGGCUGGCAUGUGUUCAUAUGAGACUUGAGACUUUUUAAUUAGAGUUUCCUUUAUUUAUAUGAUUAAUAUAUCAUGACUGUUAUCUUAUUAGAUUCUGGUGAUUUUGCUGCUUUUAACUUUUCUUGUUAAUUUCCUUCUAUGGGGUUAUUUAUUCCUGAUUGUAACUAGAUAUUUCUUUCCCAUUUUGGUACUUAGUUUUUUUUUUUUUUUUUCUUUUUAAAUUAGUUUAUCUAUUCUCCUUUUUUAUCAUGGCAUCACCAUUAACGGUUUGCAUUGUUUUGAUGGGUAGGAUUGUUCUUGUUCAUGGUGGAAAAAUUAACCAAUAUUUUUAGGGUUAGGGUUUUGCCUUAAUUGUUACAAUGCUUAGCUUGCAUGUUGUGAUCAAUCUCUUCUUUUCCAACUCUAUAGAGACUUUAUGGGGAAAGGGAGACAAGAUCACGUAAGUUGAUUAAUUAGAAGAGAUGAAAAUUAACUUUGUGUUAUGAUUGCCCCAUGACAUGACACAAUACAUUAAGUAUGAAAAAGCAAGCAACAUGAUUACAAGAGCAUAGCUAGUAGUACCGUUUAGCUUUUUGUAUAUGAUGGCCUUUUCUCAUCAUCUUACCCUAUAAGCUAUAUACGAAGAUGGGCUUCUACCAUUCAAUCAUGAUGUGUAUUUCCUAAGAGGGAAAUAGCAAGAGCAUGGCUCGUUUCUUGUUGAUGGCAAAAGGUAGAUGAUGUGAAUUGUGAUGAGAUAAGCUAUAUGGAUUGCCAGGACAUAUAUAUUUCUUCAUGCCCUAUUGCAUAGAAAUAGUAAUAGUAGUUAUUAGCAAGCAAAUUUUUUUUGAAAUAGUAAUAGUAGCAGAAGCCAUUCUCUAUAUACUAAUAUAAUUCCUUUCCUAGCUUGGGUAUUUUCAGCCCAAAUGAAUGCCCUUGGUUGUUGCCUGCAUAGUGUAAAUAUAUAAUAUGAAUAUAUACCCCUUAGUCUAAAGACCCUUAGUCAAUAGUUUAUUUACUAUAUUAAGUGAUUUGUCAAAAAAAAAGUUAGUAUUUAAGUGAUGGAAAUUAAAUUCGAGUCUGAGUUUGCUUCAUUUAACUACCCUUAUUUAUAUAUCUCAUGGUUUUUUUUGUCACAAACGUAUAUUACCUCGCCUUUUUGAGUCUGCUUGUAAAGAAAUACUUGAGUGGUCAUAAUCUCAAGUAAAAAUCAUUUGAGAGCACACAAAAAAUAUACAUAAUUUAAUUAUUUUAAACAUACACAUCCUUUAACUCUUUUUUCUGUUUUAUUUUUGUGAUCUAAAGCGUGUGCUUAAGUCCUGUGACUACACAAAACUAUCUCAGGUUUGUAUUAUGAGUGGUGUGUUUGAUCUUACGGUGUAUUAUUCGUGAGUAAUUUUGUUGACCAUUGGUAGAUUUUAGUUAAAUUUUUCUAUUGUUAUGUUUGUGGUUUAAAGUACCCCGGCUGCUUAAUAUAUUUGAUUAUUUACUGUUCAUCUUAUGUUCCAAUAUUAACAAGUGUCUCAAUGGAUCCUCUAAAAAAAUAAGUGUCUCAUUUGGAUAUCUAGCAUACAUAGUAACAUGUCAGUCUGCGCGAUCCAUGACAUUGAUAUUACUUGAAUUAAAAUUUAGGGGUUUCAUCGGUUUCUAAUUCUCGUUCAUACUAGAGAGGGAGAAACUUAAUUAACCUUAAAAGGUGAGAAAUACUCAUAGUAGGUGUAUGUUUUUUUGAAGGACAUGGUAGGUGUAUGUUAAAACUAACAUGGCACACAUAAAGUACUACAUAAAGUAUUUGGGGAUCAUAAAAGACAUAAAGUACAUAAUCGGUGAAAAGGCAAAACUGUGAAUUGUCAUAAUUUUUUCGUAAUUACUACUAAUUACUAGCUUAUACAAAUUCAAAUUUUAUGUACCAUUUCAAAUUCAAAUUUGUCAAGGAUUAUUUUAUAUGGAUGGAUAGUUAAAUUCCCGUGAUACAAAAUAUGGGGUGGGCACACAAAAUUUGAAAAUUAAAUAUUAUUUAUUUCAUGGAAUAUUUCAAUGAUGGUUGAGGAUCAAAAUAUUGCUAAUUAAUGUUUGUAACAUCCAAGAUAGAGUCAAUUGUUCAUAUUUGUUGAAUAAUUCAGCUGGCUGUUAGAGGUUUCCCAGAUUCUAAUUCUCUCCGUCUCUCAUUCAUACUAGGGAGAAACUUAAUUAAUUAACCUUAAGGUGAGAAAUAUUCAUAUAUUAUGUUAAAAACUAACAUGACACACAUAAAGUACUACAUAAAGUAUCAUUCAUUAAUUCAUACAUAAAGUAUUUGGGGAUCAUAAAAAGACAUAAAGCACAUAAUCGGUGAAAAGGUAAAACUGUGAAUUUAUCUUAGUAUGAACACAAUUGCACAUAAUAAUUAAAGGAGAAGAAUAAAAAUCAUUUCAAAAAAUGAAGAGGAUUUAGAUGUGAUGAACCUUUUAAUUGAUGCUAUUUUUCAACCGUGUGCUGCUGGUGAAUGCAUAUUCUCUGCAUGAAGCAUGACUUUUAUGGUAUUCUAAAACUUUACAGCCAUAUAUAUGUUCACAAAUUGCAAAAGGCACGCAACAGAAAAGUGUGGUAUCUAUUUGUAAUCCAACAGUUGAAGAGCCAAAUAAUUUGAUGCUAUAAAAGAAAUAAAGCAUCAAAGGAAUCAAAGGAAAGUGUGGAGGGAGGUUUAGUCAUUGUAUACAACCCGUAUGAUUCGUUGGAAUUGUAAUCAAGCAUCUUAAUCCAUCCAAACUCUAUCAAAGCUAGUACAAUGAUUUACUCAUUUAAUUAUGAUGUGAGUGUGACAUUUGAUAUUCUAGUAGACAUGAGAAGUGAGAGAAAA